UACGUAGGUGACCAGCGUUGUCCGGAUUUACUGGGCGUAAAGAGCGCGCAGGCGGUCGUUCAAGUCGAGUGUGAAAGCCCCCGGCUCAACUGGGGAGGGUCAUUCGAUACUGAUCGACUGGAAGGCAGGAGAGGUAAGCGGAAUUCCUGGUGUAGCGGUGAAAUGCGUAGAUAUCAGGAGGAACACCUGUGGUGUAGACAGCUUACUGGACCAUUUCUGACGCUGAGACACGAAAGCGUGGGUAGCAAACAGG
rnacentral:rRNA from 1 species